CCUACGGGUGGCAGCAGUGGGGAAUAUUGCACAAUGGGCGAAAGCCUGAUGCAGCAACGCCGCGUGAAGGAAGAAGGGUUUCGGCUCGUAAACUUCUAUCAACAGGGACGAAAGAAAUGACGGUACCUGAAUAAGAAGCCCCGGCUAACUACGUGCCAGCAGCCGCGGUAAUACGGAGGAUGCGAGCGUUAUCCGGAUUUAUUGGGUUUAAAGGGUGCGCAGGCGGUCUGUUAAGUCAGCGGUCAAAGCCCGGGGCUCAACCCCGGCCCGCCGUUGAAACUGGCAGUCGCGAGUUGGAGAGAGGUAUGCGGAAUGCGCGGUGUAGCGGUGAAAUGCAUAGAUAUCGCGCAGAACUCCGAUUGCGAAGGCAGCAUGCCGGCUCCACACUGACGCUGAGGCACGAAAGCGUGGGUAUCGAACAGGAUUAGAUACCCGAGUAGUC
rnacentral:rRNA from 1 species